rnacentral:rRNA from 1 species
UACGGAGGAUGCGAGCGUUAUCCGGAUUUAUUGGGCUUAAAGGGUGCGUAGGCGGUCCGGAAAGUCAGCGGUAAAAGCCCGGGGCUCAACCCCGGCGAGCCGUUGAAACUGUCGGACUAGAGACGGCGAGAAGUACGCGGAAUGCGCGGUGUAGCGGUGAAAUGCAUAGAUAUCGCGCAGAACUCCGAUUGCGAAGGCAGCGUACCGGCGCCGGACUGACGCUGAGGCACGAAAGCGUGGGUAUCGAACAGG